rnacentral:rRNA from 1 species
AUGCUACCACUACCCGUCCACUUGUCCUUCAUGCGCGGCCACUACUGGGUGGGCAUGAAGGCCAACUGGAUCGUCCUCAUCCACCAAUCCGGUAGUCCGUGGCGUCUCGUGGAUAUGUACACCCAGCGAGAGAUCACCCUUCCAUCUUUGGAUACCGCCGCCAUCGAGCCUCGCGGCCCGCCGGACACUCCUGCCUACUACGCACGAGACGCAGUUGAUAUGAUAACUGUAGACCUGAAAUCAUACCAGCCGAUGGGUGGUGGUUUAUCGCUUGUUCAGCUGACGGUGAAAGAUCCCAGCUCUGUUGGGCCAGGCGUAUUCAACUGGAGGCGGGUUUACAGCCUCGGCAACCACUCCAUGUUCCUCGGGCUCAAUUAUAUGAUCAUCCAACCAAUCAUCGAUCAUAUCACCAGUGAUGAUUACCGUGCUAUGCAACUUCCAUUCGCCAGGGGGACUGUGUUUACACAUCAUACCAUGGGUUUCAUGAAUCACCAUAUCCAGAGAUUCGUCGACGCAGCUUGUUGCCAGAUAAUCUUCAGUCAUAUAACUGGAAUUAACCCAUGCAAGUCGAAGAAGGAUUGGUCGGUGCUGCCGGCUGGCGUCAAGUUCGAUCCCACGGAUCAGGAGCUGAUCGAGCACCUUGAGGCCAAAGUGAGUGCUGACAGCGCGAGAUCUCACCCUCUCAUCGAUUUGUUCAUACCAACCAUCGACAGCGAGCACGACAUAUGCUACACCCAUCCUGAGAAACUUCCAGGUAUCACACUGAGUGGCCUAAGCAAGCAUUUCUUCCAGCGCAAUUCCAGGGCGUUCAAAAGGGGCACGUGGACGCGUCGCAAGAUACAGUCGAAGUGCGGCAUGCACGCGAUGUGGCUCAACACCGGCAAUACCUUGCCGGUGAUGGUCAACGGCCGGCAGACGGACAGCAAAAAGGUUCUGGUGCUGCACACCAACAAGAACUUCGACCAGCAGAGGACCAACUGGGUGAUGCACCAGUACCACCUCGGGGACCUGGAGCAAGAGAAGGAGCGGGAGCUGGUCCUCUGCAAGAUUUUCUACCAGACGAACACUAGGGCCAGGAGUAAAAAGAUUAUAAGUUAG